UACGGGGGGUGCGAGCGUUGUCCGGAAUCACUGGGCGUAAAGGGCGCGUAGGUGGCUUUGUAAGUUUGCGGUGAAGGCCCGGGGCUCAACCCCGGGUCUGCCGUGGAUACUGCAAGGCUUGAGUACUGUAGAGGCAGGUAGAAUAUCGGGUGUAGCGGUGGAAUGCGUAGAGAUCCGAUAGAAGACCGGUGGCGAAGGCGGCCUGCUGGGCAGUAACUGACACUGAGGCGCGACAGCGUGGGGAGCAAACAGG
rnacentral:rRNA from 1 species